UACGUAGGUGGCAAGCGUUAUCCGGAUUUACUGGGUGUAAAGGGCGUGUAGGCGGGAGUGCAAGUCAGAUGUGAAAACCACGGGCUCAACCUGUGGCCUGCAUUUGAAACUGUACUUCUUGAGUACUGGAGAGGCAGACGGAAUUCCUAGUGUAGCGGUGAAAUGCGUAGAUAUUAGGAGGAACACCAGUGGCGAAGGCGGUCCGCUGGACAGCAACUGACGCUGAGGCGCGAAAGCGUGGGGAGCAAACAGG
rnacentral:rRNA from 1 species